rnacentral:lncRNA from 1 species
CCAGACACUUGUUUGAGUGAUACGUGCAAAGCCAUCGAGGAAUGUAGCAGAUCCGAGGGGACUGUCAUUUAAGAGGAUCCACGCUCAGAAGGCUGCUGUGUUUUUAAAUAACAGGUGCUUCUGCAAGAGCUGGUAUUAUCGUCCAGCAUGAUCGUCAUCUUCAGACCUGGGAAGACGCGAGCCGUCACGGACCAGGUGCCGGGCCUGCUGUCGCACAGUUCGCGAAAUUUCCGACGUUCAUGGCAAUACUUCCUUCGGACCUUUCCAGCCUUCUGUACACCUUCAUUUUGCUUCCGCCCUCCUGCAAGGCAUGCAAGGCAUGCGAUCCUGCCCUGGCUUCACUGCGGAGGGAAGGGGUUUGACCCAAAGCUGCUGGGAAGGAGGCACCCUGCCAGGGUGGCUCUCCCCUCACCCCACUGAUCCUGCUGACAUACACUUUGCCCUUGGUCACCUGAAGACACCUAGUAUGGUCAUGCUGGAGAAGUGGGACUGCUUUGGCCCUGGCUCCAAGGAUCAGAGAAAUCGCGAGAAAGUAUCAACACUGGCUACCCACGUGGAGAAAGGAGGUAAAGGAUAGAUACGCAUUCCCUCUGUUUCCCACCCACAAGUGUAGGGAAGGGAAGGCAGAGUUUGGGAACCAAGGCUGGGCAAUUUUAGGUGUCUCAAGUCCAGGCUGACCAGCUCCUUCUCCCUGGGCGGCUUCACUUAGAGGGUUGGGGAUGGACUUGAGAUCUGGAUGGAUGGGCCCAAUCUUUCCACACAAAAAGCUACAGCAGGCAUAGCUCCCACUUCAGCGCAGCCCACCGAGAGCCAAACAGCCAGCCCAGCCAGUCCAUGGGGGGUGCUGCGUGACACAUGGUGGGGCAGGAGGGGGUGCACAUCACAGGAUGGGAGGAUGUGAGGAGACAGGUAUAAUGGCACUCGUUUUAAUGGGAAAUCAGCUGUCCAGGUCUUCAGCUUCUAGAGCCACCAGCCAUGGCUCGUUUCCUCCUCUUUAGUCUCUGCCAUGUGGUUCUGCUUGCUGGACGUGCCUUGUCCUACUAGGUGACCUGUAUGUGGACAUGGAAACAUGUAAACAAAAUGGGCAUUAAGACAGUGGCCAACGCAUGUCAUUCCUUAGAAGCAGAUGUUUAUAAUCUGGGCUUCAUAAAGACUUCAAGGGGACAACGACCCUGACAUUUUAUGCAGAGUUACUGGGACUUGUUUACAUAUGCAUUUCUCUGCAAAGAUGGUCUAUAGCAUGUAUGCAGGUCUUUAAAAAAAUUACCAAAACUAACAAUAUUAAGGGAUCCCCGAUCAUCAAUAGGUGUAACCCACCAGCAAGGCUUAAAGGGAUCUUAAGAAACAGGUGGGAAUUCCAGAUGCCCACCCCCCACCCCACAGCCUUGUGUCCCAGCAGCUGAAGACACAAGGAGAUGUG